rnacentral:rRNA from 1 species
UACGUAGGGGGGCAAGCGUUGUCCGGAUUUAUUGGGCGUAAAGAGCGUGUAGGCGGCUAGGUAGGUCCGUUGUGAAAACUCGAGGCUCAACCUCGAGACGUCGAUGGAAACCAUCUAGCUAGAGUCCGGAAGAGGAGAGUGGAAUUCCUGGUGUAGCGGUGAAAUGCGCAGAUAUCAGGAAGAACACCCGUGGCGAAGGCGGCUCUCUGGUACGUGACUGACGCUGAGACGCGAAAGCGUGGGGAGGCGAACAGG